AUUUUCUUCAUUGUACUUGUUAAUUUGUGUAACGUUAAUUUGACGCCAUUGGCAUCAGUUGACAUUACUCGAACUGUUGCUGCUUGUACCCUUUACGUGCUGUAGUGGAAUGACGUGGGGGCACCAAAGCAGCGGUAGGGUGUCACUAUAUAACUACUAGUUAACUACUCAGUAAUGGCACAGUUAAUACUCAGAUGUAGCCUGCAGCACGACCGUUUUUCCAGUACUCAGUGCAACAGAAGCAAGGGUCUGCAGAGAGGCCUUUUGUUUUUGAGUGUUGGCUGUGGCUUUGGUCAAACAGACCAUAAACAUCUGUACAAUAUUAGGAAUUCAGAUGUUUGAACCAGUAGUUAUUUUAAGAUGACAGUACACAGCUCCAUACGUUUGAUUGUAAGGAGCAGGGCUGUACGAUAUGUUAUUAUUUUGACAGGUAUUGUGAUUGCGAUAUGAUUCAUGAUUUGUGAUUUUGUUGUUGAAUCAUAAAUUAAGUUUUCCUUAAAAAAAACUAUUAAAAUCAUGAUGAUGAGAAAUGUUUUGGUGUCUGUACCUAACAAACAUGUUCUCUUAAAUCUGAAGAACAAAAUUUGUAGGCCAGGACAUCUCUGCACCACUACAGUACUUCAUUAUAUAGCUGUUUGUAACACAUUUUUACCUUAAUAGAAAACAUUCAGCUACUCCGUUUUGCAUAUUGCACCUGGCCAUGUUGUAAUUUUGAUAAUAUUUCGACUAAUUGUGCAGCCCCAGUAAGGAUGAGGACAUCAUUUUAUCUGCUUAACAGGAGAACCUGAGCCUCUUUAGAGACUGGACAAGCACAGCCCAGUGGCCAAGAUUAAAUAAAUAAGGCCCCCUUGUACCUAGCAGACCUGCUCCAUUGCCACACUCCUUCCUGAAGCCUCUGCUCUUCUACGCCAACCUACCGUCUCCACCACUGAGGGCCCUGCAUCUUACCUGGGGCGACAGAGCCUUCUCCAUAGCUGCCCCCUCCCUCUGGAACUCUCUCCCCAAACAAAUCUGAGACUGUACUGAUCCAUCCAACUUCAAAUCACUGAUCAACUCUUCAGAACUGAUUUUAAUGAUUAAUUCAUUGUUGAGUGUUGUAGAUAUAGCUAUAUUUUUUUAGUGUGUUGUUUCGAUUACCCUUUUCUUUUCCUGUUUCCUGUUGGUCGAGGCAGACGACCACCCACCUAGAGCCGAAGGAUCUGUCCUAGGUUUCUGUCUCUUAACAGGCAGUUUUUCCUUGCCCCCGUUGCCAAGUGCUUGCUCAUGGUGGUACUGUUGGGUCUCUGUAAAUGUUAUAAGGAGUUCGGUCUAGACCUGCUCUAUUUCAAAAGUGUCCUGAGAUAAGUUCUGUUGGCGCUAUACAAAUAAAAUUGAAUUGAAUUAUG